CUUGGAAGUACUACUGGAGGUGGGGCAGAGACGGAGAAGGGGCGCAGAACAGAGGUUGUCCGAGCAACAACAGCAGGUGCGCCAGCCAAUGGCAGGGCCUGACUUUCCUCUUUCCCUUCCCCCUAAUCUCCUGGAUGGUCCGAUUUAGAAAAGGGCAGCAAGACCUUUCCCACAUUGACAAAUGAUGACAAGAUGGACAAUGAAGGAACGUGGAACCUGUGCAAUGGGGAAUCUGGCAUUCCAAAAGAAUCCCCCAAACCUGUGCAUGCUUCUUAUUCCCUAUGACAUAAAUGUCAAACUCCAAAACACAUCUCCACCUGAAUUUAGUCAUGCCCAUUUUCCACGGUUUUCAGGAAAAGGUGAAAAUUUCUCUGGAAUGGAAAAUGACUAGUCCCUAAACCCUAAUAAAUAUGCUGACCCUGAUCCACAGAGAGCAGAAGCUGCUACUCUACAGCAAAAGCUACCCGUCUUAAAGGAGAAGCUGCCACUCUAGUGGAGUUGCUAUUCCACACUUGGAGCUGCUAUACCUCACUUGGAGAGCUGCUAUUCCAUCUGCUACAGAGAAGCUACCUGAUUAGUCCCCAUUCCACCAACUAUCAGACUAUUAUAGCACCAUAAGCCACCACUUCUUCAAAUAAUAUUCUUUUCUUACUUCUGGACUGAAUGGAGUUUGAAUCCCCCAUUCUUGGGGCGAGACCCAGCUACAGACUUGGGUGUGUUUCUCCCAAAAUAAGCUCAUUUUACAGCUGAGGAAUUGAGGCAAACAGAGUUGAGUGACUUCCCCACAGUCACACAGCUAGUCAGUAUCUGAAAUCACAUGUAAACUCAGGUCUUCCUGACUACAGCACUCUAUUUACUAUACCACCUAUCUUCCCAAGUAAGAAGUUAAUUCGUUACUUUUUCCCUGCUUUCUCUUCAGAGGGAAGGGAGACUUCCCUCUGUUCUCACCACUGAUAAUGGCAUCUUAUUGCAAAAGCAGAUGGCUAUAGAAGACAUAUACUUACAUGCCUUCUGAGAAGACUUUGCUUCCUGAAUCCUAUGUAACAAAAGCUUUGAAAGAAAUAGAGCUUGAAGGGGGCAACUGGGUAGCUCAGUGGACUGAGAGUCAGGCCCACAGAUGGGAGGUCCUAGGUUCAAAUCUGGCCUCAGACACUUCCAAGCUGUGUGACCCUGGGCAAGUCACUUGACCCCCAUUGCCUAGCCCUUACCAUUCUUCUGCCUUGGAACCAAUACACAGUAUUGCUUCCAAGAAUUAAAAAAAGAAAAGAAAUAGAGCUUGACACCUGGAGUCUGCUGCUAGGACAUGAUGCACCUUAUAGCUAAGAUUUCAAGAAAGUAGACAUGGAAGGGCCUUCUGUUGGUACUAGGAUAUGGGUCUGUCUAGUUCUUUCUGAAAGAAACUAGUAGUUCUGUAGGCAUGUAUUUAAGUUUAUCUAGAAGAUGAUGUUACUAAAAACAAUAGCUAACUAUUAGAGCAAGAGGCCCAGGCAAGAUAUCCCAACUCAUUAUAGAGCAGUUUGGGGAUAUCCCAAGAGGAUAUCAGGGUCCUUGCAGCAUGGAGAGUAAAUUACUUCUCCAUUCAUACACAUGCUUUGGCUACAUGUCCUUCCCAAUGUGUGUCCAUACCAUACCAGUUCCCCAUGUUUGACUUCUAUUUAUGUCCUUUCUCCCCACUGAUCUUGGGUGUAUUUGAUUGGUGAUUUUUUUUUCCCAUCACUUCCCUUCACCCAGCAAGGAAUUAAAAGUCCUCCUUUCUGACACAUAAGCAUAAUAAAUCAAAAUAAAUCUGCCUGUUGCCCAUGUCUGAAAAUGCAUACCUCAUUCCUUAUCUCUACUACAUCACAUCUUUACCAAAAUUGUGAUUCAUCAUCAUUUUUCUGGAGUUGUUGUUGAUCAUCAAAUUAGCUUGCUCUUUACAAGAACAAAUUGUUGUUGUUCAUCUCUUGUUUUCAGAGGACCAAUGACAUCAGGAGGUGAUACAGGCAAGUGAACUGGAUUUAAGUGAGGCAGAAUUAUACAGUCACCAGCCUCACUUUCUCUUCCAGAAUCAUCAAAGCCCAGUGACAAGACAAAAAAUUAGGAUGAAUGUAAUGGCUCCAAUGAGAUAGAUGACCUUGGUGUCCUAGAUAUCUGACCAAGCUCUAAGUGCUCCAUAGCACCUGCUUCAGCUGCCAUCAUGGUCAUUGGAAUAAAUUGUUCUCAUCUGUCUGCUCCUCUAUUUCACAAGCCUGGGAGUAAACAUCCUCCUAACUCUAGGACACAAUAUGAUCUAAUGGAAAGAGCAAUCUCUAAGGCCAGAAAACUUUGAUUCAAAUCCUACAUUUGCUAUAUACUGUUUGUGUGACCCUAGACAAAGAGCAACCUCUCUGGGCCUCGGUUUUCUCGUAUACAAAAGUAAAGAGUUGGACCAGAGGACCUCUUGGGGCUCUGGCUAUUCUAGGGGGAAGUGAGGGAAAGGAAUAAGCAUCUAUAUAGCACCUAUGAUGUGCUAGGGACUGUGCUAAGCAUUUUACAAAUAUCUCAUUUGAUCUAUAACUAUGAUCCUUUGACCAGUCAUUCAGUGACUAGUAUGUGUCAAGGAUGGUACUAAGCAAUGGAGGGGAGUGGGGAGAGAGACAUAAAGUCUGAAAAGUCAGAGAUCUUAGUUUUAUAAAGUCAAUAAAUUAAUUUUUGUAAUGUAGUACAGACAAGUUAAAAUACAAAACAGCAGAAUUACACAGGGAUAGCAAUUAACAAAACUGCAUUCUCACAAGAAAAGUGAAGUGGGGUGGGUCAGCCUCCCACAGGGAAUGGAGUCUUGGAGGUGGGACGGUGUCGCUGAAAUGGUGGAUGGGACACAGCUUUCUCAUUCAACCCUCAGCACAGGUUUCAUAGGAUAAACUGCUCCACUUUGGCUGAGGCCUGGCUUUAUUUUAUACCCUCAUGAUCACAUAUCUACUUAGCAUACAGUUUCAUUCUCAACAUACAUGUUUCCAUAGAAUCUAACAACAGACAGGAAGCCUAGGGAGAUAGUCAAUAAAACAUUUGUGCUAAGUGCAGGAUCAGAAAGUAGAAUCAACAUGACCCAGAUAUAGGUUAGGGAAUUCAGAGCACAGAUUUACCAUAAAUACAGAAGUUUUUAUGCCUAGAUAAGAGGGUCCUAUCUAAGAGGGUAUAUAAGAAUCCUUAAGUUUAAUUUUGUAAGUGGGAUCUCCUGGUAAUAUACUGGGGAGACAGAGUGGGACAUCUGUAUUAACCUUGCAAGCAUGUUGCUCUCAUCUAUUUUUCCUAGGGCUAAGUAAGAAUAAUAAUCAGCGAUUCCAAUAAUAAGGGGAUGUUAAUAAGGAAAGUCACUUAGGGGGGUUUCAGUGGGUGUUUCCAUCCUUCCUGGAGGCUGCUUUGCAGUCCCAGGUUUUCACAUGGACCAUGUCAAACAGUGUGGUCUUUAAUGGCUCCUGGCAGGAAAGGAAGAAAAUAGAUGCAAAAAAGAGUACAAACUCAUUACGCAGCACACAGUAGUGUGGUUUCUGAAUGUGGAAACAUGCAAUGGUUUGUUCACUGGUCAAAGGCCCAAAACCUUGGGCCCAAACAUAUAGGGUUUUAUACAGAGAGCCAGCAUGGCACCAAAGACUGCCUUGUCAUACAUAGGGAGAGAUAAUAACAUAUUUGAGGCCAGUGAAAAGAGGGCUUUUUAAAAAUUACCCAAUAAGGCACGAGGAAUAAGGGGCAGGGACACAGGGAACUUAAUUCUAAAUGGAUCAAGAGACCAGGUAAUAUCCAGUCUUUUGGUUUAUUAGCCUGGAUAUUCAUGCAUCCUGAGGGCUGGGGCCAUAUACAGCAAACCAAUUUUCAUUGGUUCAGAGGGAAUAUUAUCAUUUUUGUUAUAUUUACAUGACUCAACUAUAAGCAAUUUGCAUCACUCCAGUUAAGCCUCUAUAUCAAAUUGGCCAAUAUGACAAUGAAGGAAAAUGAUCAAUGUGGGAGGGAAUAUGGCAAAAUUGAGACAAAGAAUGCUACCCCCUCCAAAGAAAAAAACUGUUAAAGUCAGAAUGCAGAUCAAAGCAUGAUUCUGACCCAACUCAGUCUCCAGUGUUUACCUCUUGAGAAUUUCAAUUGUUACAGCCUCUAAUUACUGUGGUCCAAGGGGUUCAUUACCUGGCAGCUAACACUCUGGUAAUGUACUCCCCAAUCUUAGUUAGAUCCUAGUUCAAAUCAGCCUUAGAUAUUUAAUAGUUGUAUGAUCUUGGGCAAGUCACUUAGCUUUUGUUUGCCUCAGUUUCCUCAACUGUAAAAUAAUAAUAACAAUAAUAACACCUAUCCCCCAGGGCUAUUGUGAGGAUCAAAUGAGUUAAUAUUUGUAAAAUACCUUGCAAAUCUUAAAGCACUACAUAAAUGCUAAUUGUCAUUAUCUCAUGAAGGUUGAAAAUAAUCCCUCUUGCAUAUGAGUAGACAGAUUGAAAAAGAUUCAGUUCUGUUGUGUUUUUUCUUUUUCUUUUUUCAGUUUGGUCUCUUGCUAGUCAGUAUGGAUACCCCUUAGAUGAAAGAAUCUGCCUAGCCUCUGGUACCAGACUGCCAACUCUCUCUGCAUGUAGUCAAUUCCCUGGGUUGUCUUCUUCCACAGUUUCUGAAGGCUAAGAAUGGCAAACGCAAUUUGCAAUACCAUCAUCCCUUGCUAAGCACCAAUGUCCCACAGCCUCAGACUUCUUUCUUCAAUUCUUCAUUGACAUGAUGCCUGUUCCCUGGUGCUCUCCUUUUCUUCAGACCAGUCAGAGACUCCUGAGCAAUCCUUUGUCUAGGCACCAAUGUCAUGGGAUUCUGAUAUCCUCAGGCUUCCCACAGUGAGCAACGGCUCCCUUGCUUCAGCCAUUAUUGGCACUGAAAUGGACCAACAGUACUCUAUUGUGGACAACCUGAUGUGCCACUAUUCUCUCAGGUUCAGCUGAGAUGAGAUGAUAUAUUCGGAGGGACACAUGUAACUCUCAUUUCAUUGGCAGUGCAGAUAUAACUGGUAAUUCCUGAGAACAAUGCCUCAGCCUACAGCUCUCCACCACUUCUAAGGGAGUGACAUUUCAGAGUCCUAUCCCAAUAGCAUGACAAUGCCAAAAUUACUUUAGAUCUAUAAUAAUAAUAAUCUCAGAAUUUCCAUCAAAAACAAAAGAAAGAAUUUUCCCACACUGGUAUUCGGUGCUCUUGCUGUGUUCCCAGUGGAGGGAGAAAAUGAUACCAGGAUUUGUACAACUUCAAAAAAGCUUAGGAGGGACUAUUUUACACAAAUAAUUUAUGUACAGAACAGAUAAAUAGUGGUAUCUAUGGGAACUGAGAGUUUGAAUGCUGAGAAGAAAAGCAAUUUCAUGUUUUCAGGCCAACUAGGAUAUUUGGCCUGCUUUUCUCAUGGAAUAUUAUUUCUGUUAUUAUAAGACUGAUGUGCACAUAGGGAUAGUUUUGGUGGGCAAAGCACUCUGAGCUCCAAAGACUAUGUCAGCCAUGUUAAUUUGGAACUAAUCCAAGUAGACUGAAUGAGUAUUUAGUGACCUCAGAGAAAAUUUAGUAUCUAUCCAAGUAUGUCCACUACAAAUGCAUCCAUUUGCCAAAUGCAGAUUGAAAAUUGUUUAGAGGACAAUAAUCAACCCACUAGCAUGUGAUGUUAUGUCCAUGAUAUUUUCUCGUCUUUCAUUUAAUGGAUAAUCCCUUUAAGAGUCAUCAUUUGCCACCAUAGCAAUGGGAGUAGAGAAUGGGAUUGAUUUUCCUGAUGUAAACAGGGGUUACCAAUUUUAUAUCCAUAAUAUCUCUCCCACCUGACCCUUUCUCUCCAUUUUUAUCCAGGAUUUCAUUACCUAUCAUUUGGAUUAAUGUUAAUGCUUCCAAACUGGCUUCCUGCUUCUGUUCUCUACCUUCUCAAGAAAUCUUUUUGCAAUACAUCUGACCAUGUUGCUACUUAGGUCAAAAACCAUCAGUGGCCCUCCUCUCUUAUUUCUAGAUAAAAGUUAUUAAACCGGGGCACACAAAUUUGGGUUUUUUAAAGAGUAUUUUGAAUGAAGUAAAGAUAAAACAUUGAAAAAAUAUUUUGAUAACUGUAUUCCAAAAUAAUUGGUUUACUUUGUAAUCCUAUGUAUUUUAUUAUAUGUACUUAAAAACAUUAUUCUGAGAAGGGUUCCACAGGCUUCACCAGACUGCUGAAAGGAUCACACACACACACACACACACACACACACACACACACACACAUGGUGGGAUUGGGAAGAGUUAAAAACAGGAUAAAAUAUACAUUCCUUUGCUGGCAAUAAAAGGCAUUCCAAAAUUUGACU